GUCGACCGCGGGUAAGACCGCGUGGAGGACCGAACCCACCAGGGUUUAAAACCUGGGGGAUGAGCUGUGGGUAGGGGUGAAAGGCCAAUCAAACUUCGUGAUAGCUGGUUCUCCCCGAAAUGCAUUUAGGUGCAGCGUCUCGUGUUUCUUACCGGAGGUAGAGCUACUGGAUGGCUAAUGGGCCUCACCAGGUUACUGACGUCAGCCAAACUCCGAAUGCCGGUAAGUGAGAGCGAGGCAGUGAGACUGCGGGGGAUAAGCUCCGUAGUCGAAAGGGAAACAGCCCAGACCACCGGCUAAGGCCCCAAAGCGUGUGCUAAGUGGAAAAGGAUGUGGAGUUGCCCGUCGACGCGGCCG
rnacentral:rRNA from 1 species